rnacentral:rRNA from 1 species
UUGAAGAGUUUGAUCAUGGCUCAGAUUGAACGCUGGCGGCAGGCCUAACACAUGCAAGUCGAGCGGUAGCACAGAGAGCUUGCUCUCGGGUGACGAGCGGCGGACGGGUGAGUAAUGUCUGGGAAACUGCCUGAUGGAGGGGGAUAACUACUGGAAACGGUAGCUAAUACCGCAUAACGUCGCAAGACCAAAGUGGGGGACCUUCGGGCCUCAUGCCAUCAGAUGUGCCCAGAUGGGAUUAGCUAGUAGGUGGGGUAACGGCUCACCUAGGCGACGAUCCCUAGCUGGUCUGAGAGGAUGACCAGCCACACUGGAACUGAGACACGGUCCAGACUCCUACGGGAGGCAGCAGUGGGGAAUAUUGCACAAUGGGCGCAAGCCUGAUGCAGCCAUGCCGCGUGUGUGAAGAAGGCCUUCGGGUUGUAAAGCACUUUCAGCGGGGAGGAAGGCGGUGAGGUUAAUAACCUCAUCGAUUGACGUUACCCGCAGAAGAAGCACCGGCUAACUCCGUGCCAGCAGCCGCGGUAAUACGGAGGGUGCAAGCGUUAAUCGGAAUUACUGGGCGUAAAGCGCACGCAGGCGGUCUGUCAAGUCGGAUGUGAAAUCCCCGGGCUCAACCUGGGAACUGCAUUCGAAACUGGCAGGCUAGAGUCUUGUAGAGGGGGGGUAGAAUUCCAGGUGUAGCGGUGAAAUGCGUAGAGAUCUGGAGGAAUACCGGUGGCGAAGGCGGCCCCCUGGACAAAGACUGACGCUCAGGUGCGAAAGCGUGGGGAGCAAACAGGAUUAGAUACCCUGGUAGUCCACGCCGUAAACGAUGUCGAUUUGGAGGUUGUGCCCUUGAGGCGUGGCUUCCGGAGCUAACGCGUUAAAUCGACCGCCUGGGGAGUACGGCCGCAAGGUUAAAACUCAAAUGAAUUGACGGGGGCCCGCACAAGCGGUGGAGCAUGUGGUUUAAUUCGAUGCAACGCGAAGAACCUUACCUGGUCUUGACAUCCACAGAACUUAGCAGAGAUGCUUUGGUGCCUUCGGGAACUGUGAGACAGGUGCUGCAUGGCUGUCGUCAGCUCGUGUUGUGAAAUGUUGGGUUAAGUCCCGCAACGAGCGCAACCCUUAUCCUUUGUUGCCAGCGGUUCGGCCGGGAACUCAAAGGAGACUGCCAGUGAUAAACUGGAGGAAGGUGGGGAUGACGUCAAGUCAUCAUGGCCCUUACGACCAGGGCUACACACGUGCUACAAUGGCAUAUACAAAGAGAAGCGACCUCGCGAGAGCAAGCGGACCUCAUAAAGUAUGUCGUAGUCCGGAUUGGAGUCUGCAACUCGACUCCAUGAAGUCGGAAUCGCUAGUAAUCGUAGAUCAGAAUGCUACGGUGAAUACGUUCCCGGGCCUUGUACACACCGCCCGUCACACCAUGGGAGUGGGUUGCAAAAGAAGUAGGUAGCUUAACCUUCGGGAGGGCGCUUACCACUUUGUGAUUCAUGACUGGGGUGAAGUCGUAACAAGGUAACCGUAGGGGAACCUGCGGUUGGAUCACCUCCUU